CACGUAGGAGGCGAGCGUUGUCCGGAAUCAUUGGGCGUAAAGAGCGCGCAGGCGGCUUGGCAAGUCAGAUGUGAAAUCCCCGGGCUUAACCUGGGAACUGCGUUUGAAACUGAAAGGCUAGAGUGUGGCAGAGGGGGGUGGAAUUCCACGUGUAGCAGUGAAAUGCGUAGAUAUCUGGAGGAACACCGGUGGCGAAGGCGGCAUUCUGGACUGUAACUGACACUGAUGAACGAAAGCCAGGGGAGCAAACGGG
rnacentral:rRNA from 1 species